rnacentral:rRNA from 1 species
AGUGAACGCUGGCGGCGUGCUUAACACAUGCAAGUCGAACGGUAACAGGAACUAGCUUGCUAGUUUGCUGACGAGUGGCGCACGGGUGAGUAAUAUAUAGUUAAUGUACCCCAAAGACUGGGAUAGCCACUGGAAACGGUGAUUAAUACUAGAUACACCUCUUUAAUAUAAGUUAGAGAGGGAAAUGUCUUUUCGCUUUGGGAUCAGACUAUAUCCUAUCAGUUAGUUGGUGAGGUAAUGGCUCACCAAGGCAAUGACGGGUAGCGGUUCUGAGAGGAUGAUCCGCCACACUGGUACUGAGGCACGGACCAGACUCCUACGGGAGGCAGCAGUGAGGAAUAUUGCACAAUGGGGGGAACCCUGAUGCAGCAACGCCGCGUGGAGGAUGACGCAUUUCGGUGUGUAAACUCCUUUUAUAUGUCAAGAAAUGACGUAGCAUAUGAAUAAGCACGGCUAACUCCGUGCCAGCAGCCGCGGUUAA